rnacentral:SRP_RNA from 1 species
CCGUGCUAUCCGGGGAGUCAGCGGUGCCCUGUACCUGCAAUCCGCUACAGCAGGGGAGAAUGCCGACCCUCGGCCAAGGUUCGUGGUACGGACCCGGAUCGGGCUCGUUGAAGGUGCGGUCUUGCACAACGGGAUCCCGUGAACCAUGUCAGGCGGGGAACCGAGCAGCAUUAAGCGGUGUGUCCCGUGUGUUGCGAGUCCACCGCAUCGGAGGGCUGCGAUGCGGGAGACCGGCCAUGAUCCUUGUGUCAAAGGACGGCUGCACGG